rnacentral:lncRNA from 10 species
ACCAGCUGGGCGUGGUGGCGGGCGCCUGUAAUCCCAGCUACUAGGGAGGCUGAGGCAGGAGAAUCACUUGAACCCAGGAGGUGGAGGUUGCAGUGAGCAGAGAUUGUGCUACAGCACCCCAGCCUGGGUGACCAGAACGAGACUCCAUAUGGAGGGGGACGGGGAGCGGGAGGGGAAGGGGAGCGGAGGAAAGUUACUGUUUUAAGCACUCAGCUUGUGGUUUUAAGUCUGAGCAGAAUAAGACACAUUUUAAGUUAAUUUUUUGUGAUGGGUGUCUAGAUUCUUUUUUUUUUUUUUUUUUUGGCACGUGGAUGUUCAGUUAUUCCAGCACCAUUUCUUGAAAAGAUCAUCCUUUCUACAUUGAGGUGUGUUUGUUCCCUUGUCAAAGAUCAGUUGCAUAUGUUUAUGCAGGUUUUUAUCUGGGCUCUCUGUUCUGUUUCAUUGAUCUAUUUUUUCUGUUUUUUGACCAAUACCACACUGCCUUGAUUACUGUGGCUUUAUAGUAAAAGUACUGAAAUUGGGUACUAUGGGUCCUCCAACCUUGCUCUUCUCUUUCAAUAUUGAGUUGACUAUUCUGGGUCUUUUACCUCUCCUUAUAAACAUUACAAUCAGUUUGCUAAUAUCCACAGAAUAACCUGCUGAGUUUUUUUCGUUUUUUAGAGACAGGGUCUUGCUCUGUCAGCCAGGCUGGAAUACAGUGGCAUGAUCAUAACUUACUGAAACCUCAGACUCCUAGGCUCAAGCAGUCCUCCCACCUCAGCCUCCCAAAUAGCUGGGAAUAUAGGCACAUGCCACCAGGCCUAGCUAACAAAAAAAAUUUUUUUGUAGAUAUGGGGUCUCACUAUGUUGCCUAGGCUGGUCUUAAACUCCUGGGCUUAAGCGAUCCUCCUGCCUUAGCCUCCCAAAGUGCUGGAUUAUAGGCAUAAACCACCACACUUAGCCCCUGAGACUGUGAUUGAGAUUGUGUUGAAUCUGUAAAUCAAGCAGAGGACUGACAUCAUGAUAAUACUGAGUUUUCCUCAUGAACAGACUAUCUCUUCAUUUAUUUAGCUCUUCUUUGAUAUAUUUUUAUCAGUCUUGUAUUUUUCCUCACAGAUUUUGUACAUAUUUUGUUAGACUUACACCUCAGUAUUUUAUCUUUAGUGGUGCUAAUGUAAAUAAUGUGUUUUUAACUUCAAAUUCCACUUCUUCGUUGCCAGUAUAAAGGAAAAUGUAGAUUUUCUGUAGAUGCUCUCUAUCAACUUGAGGAAGUUCCUCUCUAUUCCUAGUUUGUUGAAUUUGUAAUCAUGAAUCGAGGUUGGAUUUUGUCAAAUGCUUUCUCCGCAUCUACUGAUAUGACCACAUGAUCUUUCUUCAGCCUGUUGAUGUGGUACAUCACAUUACAUUAAUUUAUUUCCUAAUGUUGGACCAGCCUUGUAAACCUGGGACAAAUCCCACUUGGUCAUGGUAUAUAAUUCUUUUUAUACAUUGUUGGAUUUGAUUUGCUAAUAUUUUGUUGGGAUUUUUGCAUUUAUGUUCAUAAGAGGUGUCUGUCUGUAGUUUCCUUUUCUUGUAAUGUCUGUUUGGUUUUGGCAUUUGGGUGGAUAACACUGACCUCAUAUGAGUUAGGAAGUAUUCCCUCUGUUUUUAUUUUCUGGAAGAGAUUAUAGAGAACUGGUAUAAUUUCUUCCUUAAAUGUUUGGUAGAAGUCAUAAGUGAACCCAUCUGAGCCCAGUGGAUUCUAUUUUGGAAGGUAAUUGUUGAUUUGACUUAUUUAACAGACAUAGCCCUAUUCAGAUUGUCUAUUUCUUCCCGUGUUUGGGAGAUUGUGUACUUCAAGGAAUUGGUUCAUUUAUCAAAUUUGGGCACAGAGUUGUUCAUCUUUUUUUUUUUAUUACCCUUUAAAAGUCUGUGGGACAUCUCUGUAGUGAUGUUCCCUCUUUCAUUUGAUAUUAGUAUUUUGUGUCCUCUCUCUUCUUUGUCUUAGUCUGGCUAAAGGUUUACUGAUUUUAUUGUUUUUUCAAACCAUCUUCUGGUUUCGUUGAUUUUCUCUAUUGAUUUCCUGUUUUCCAUUUCAUUGAUUUCUGCUUGAAUUUUUAUUUCUUUUCUUCUGCUUACUUUGUAUUUAAUUUGCUCUUCUUUUUCUAGUUUCCUAGAGUGAAAGCUUACAUUAUGAUUUUAGAUCUUUCCCAUUUUCUAAUACAUGCAGUCAAUGCUAUAAAUUUCCCUCUAAGCACUGCAUUCACAGCAUUCCACAAAUUUUGGUAAGUUUUAUUUUCAUUUUCACUUAAUUCAAAAUAUUCUAAAAUUUAUCUUGAGAUAUCUUCUUUGACUCGUGUUAUUUGGAAGUGUGUUAUUUGCCAAGUACUUUAGGAUUUUCUAGCUAUCUUUCUGGUUUCAUUUCUAGUUUCAUGUCAUUGUGGUCUGAGAAUAGACAUUCUAUGUUUUCUAUUCUUCAAGUAUGUUAAAGUGUUUUGUGGCCCAGAAUGUGGUCUAUCUUAGUGAAUGUUCCACAUGAGCUUGGCAGGAAUGUGCAUUCUGCUAUCGUUGGAUGAAGCAGUCUACAGAUGUAAAUUAUUCCCAGCUGACUGAUGUGAUGGUGCUGUUAAACUCAACUGCAUCCUGCUGGAUCUGUCCAUUUACGAUAGAGGGUGCUGGAUCUCCAACUGCAGACAGUGAACUCAUCUAUUUCCCCUUGUAGUUCUAUCAGUUUUCGCAUCACAUAUUUUGUUGUUGUUGUUUUUUGAGACGGAGUCUCGCUCUGUUGCCCAGGCUGGAGUGCGAUGGCGCGAAUCUCGGCUGACUGCAACCUCUG